AAGAAUCGAAAAGGUUCAACACGAUACCUUCUUUAUUAUUUUGAUUUAUUUAACUUUACAAGAAAGUAAAAAGGCUUUCAUAACCAGGGGGACGACAAGACCCUGUCGAACUUAACUUAAAGUUUAGCUGGGGUGGCAAUAAAUAUUAUCUUUCUCUAAAAUCCUCAAAAUCCACAAUAUGAUACAUUAAGUUACCGCAGGGCUAACAGCAUAAUUUACUUCUAGAGACCUUAUCCAAAAGUAAGAUUGUGACCUCGAUGUUGAAUUAAUUAUCUCCUUAGAGCAAAAUCUAAGAAAGAAAGUCUGUUCGACUUUUAAUAUAUUACGUGAUCUGAGUUCAGACCGGAUCACAAUCUUACUUUUGGAUAAGGUCUCUAGAAGUAAAUUAUGCUGUUAGCCCUGCGGUAACUUAAUGUAUCAUAUUGUGGAUUUUGAGGAUUUUAGAGAAAGAUAAUAUUUAUUGCCACCCCAGCUAAACUUUAAGUUAAGUUCGACAGGGUCUUGUCGUCCCCCUGGUUAUGAAAGCCUUUUUACUUUCUUGUAAAGUUAAAUAAAUCAAAAUAAUAAAGAAGGUAUCGUGUUGAACCUUUCAUUCUAUCCUGUAAUUAGCAGGCAAUUUAUUGUGCUACCUUUGCACGUGAGCGGCUAUUUAAGUAAUCAUUGUGCAGGUCUUACUAAUUAUGAAGCAAUUAGAAAUGUUUUUGAUAAACAGGCGA
rnacentral:rRNA from 1 species